rnacentral:rRNA from 1 species
CCCCUAAGUCUGGGAUACCAUUUGGAAACAGGUGCUAAUACCGGAUAAUAAAGCAGAUCGCAUGAUCAGCUUUUGAAAGGCGGCGUAAGCUGUCGCUAAGGGAUGGCCCCGCGGUGCAUUAGCUAGUUGGUAAGGUAACGGCUUACCAAGGCGACGAUGCAUAGCCGAGUUGAGAGACUGAUCGGCCACAUUGGGACUGAGACACGGCCCAAACUCCUACGGGAGGCAGCAGUAGGGAAUCUUCCACAAUGGACGCAAGUCUGAUGGAGCAACGCCGCGUGAGUGAAGAAGGUUUUCGGAUCGUAAAGCUCUGUUGUUGGUGAAGAAGGAUAGAGGUAGUAACUGGCCUUUAUUUGACGGUAAUCAACCAGAAAGUCACGGCUAACUACGUGCCAGCAGCCGCGGUAAUACGUAGGUGGCAAGCGUUGUCCGGAUUUAUUGGGCGUAAAGCGAGCGCAGGCGGAAAAAUAAGUCUAAUGUGAAAGCCCUCGGCUUAACCGAGGAAACUGCAUCGGAAACUGUUUUUCUUGAGUGCAGAAG